rnacentral:rRNA from 1 species
GUAGGGUGCGAGCGUUAAUCGGAAUUACUGGGCGUAAAGCGUGCGCAGGCGGUUCGUUGUGUCGGUGGUGAAAGCCCCGGGCUUAACCUGGGAAUGGCCAUGGAAACUGGCGGACUGGAGUGUGGCAGAGGGGGGUGGAAUUCCGCGUGUAGCAGUGAAAUGCGUAGAGAUGCGGAGGAACACCGAUGGCGAAGGCAGCCCCCUGGGCUAACACUGACGCUCAGGCACGAAAGCGUGGGUAGCAGACAGGAUUAGAUACCCUGGUAGUCCACGCCCUAAACCAUGUCAACUAGGUGUUCGGGAAGCGAUUUCUGAGUACCGUAGCUAACGCGUGAAGUUGACCGCCUGGGGAGUACGGCCGCAAGGUUA